AGGGUUUGAUCAUGGCUCAGAACGUACGCUGGCGGCACGCCUAAUACAUGCAAGUCGAACGAAGUAGCAAUACUUAGUGGCAGACGGGUGAGUAACAUGUAGGUAUCUUCCCAUUGGUGAGGAAUAACACGAGGAAACUUGUGCUAAUACCUCAUAAGUCUUUACGGAGAAAGCUUUAUGCGCCGAUGGAUGAGCCUGCACUUGAUUAGUUUGUUGGUAGGGUAAUGGCCUACCAAGACAAUGAUCAAUAGCUGAUUUGAGAGGAUGAUCAGCCACAUUGGGACUGAGACACGGCCCAAACUCCUACGGGAGGCAGCAGUAGGGAAUCUUGCACAAUGGGGGAAACCCUGAUGCAGCGAUGCCGCGUGAGUGAAGAAGGCCUUUGGGUUGUAAAGCUCUUUCGUCGGGGAAGAAAAUGACUGUACCCGAAUAAGAAGGUCCGGCUAACUUCGUGCCAGCAGCCGCGGUAAUACGAAGGGACCUAGCGUAGUUCGGAAUUACUGGGCUUAAAGAGUUCGUAGGUGGUUAAAAAAGUUGGUGGUGAAAUCCCAGAGCUUAACUCUGGAACUGCCAUCAAAACUUUUUAGCUAGAGUAUGAUAGAGGAAAGCAGAAUUUCUAGUGUAGAGGUGAAAUUCGUAGAUAUUAGAAAGAAUACCAAUUGCGAAGGCAGCUUUCUGGAUCAUUACUGACACUGAGGAACGAAAGCAUGGGUAGCGAAGAGGAUUAGAUACCCUCGUAGUCCAUGCCGUAAACGAUGUGUGUUAGACGUUGGAAAUUUAUUUUCUGUGUCGCAGCGAAAGCAAUAAACACACCGCCUGGGGAGUACGACCGCAAGGUUAAAACUCAAAUGAAUUGACGGGGACCCGCACAAGUAGUGGAGCAUGUGGUUUAAUUCGAAGAUACGCGCAGAACCUUACCAACACUUGACAUGUUCGUCGCGACUUUAAGAGAUUAAAGUUUUCGGUUCGGCCGGACGAAACACAGGUGCUGCAUGGCUGUCGUCAGCUCGUGUCGUGAGAUGUUGGGUUAAGUCCCGCAACGAGCGCAACCCUCACUUUUAGUUGCCAUCAUUUAGUUGGGCACUCUGAAAGAACUGCCAGUGAUAAGCUGGAGGAAGGUGGGGAUGACGUCAAGUCCUCAUGGCCCUUACGUGUUGGGCUACACACGUGCUACAAUGGCAUUUACAAUAGGAAGCAAGACGGCGACGUUUAGCAAAUCCUAAAAAAAUGCCUCAGUUCGGAUUGUACUCUGCAACUCGAGUACAUGAAGCUGGAAUUACUAGUAAUCGCGGAUCAGCGCGCCGCGGUGAAUACGUUCCCGGGUCUUGUACACACCGCCCGUCACACCAUGGGAGUUGGUUCUACCUUAAGGCAAAGUUUAAUACCUUUGACCACGGUAUAGUCAGCGACUGGGGUGAAGUCGUAACAAGGUAGCCGUA
rnacentral:rRNA from 1 species